rnacentral:rRNA from 1 species
GGCGGUUNGGAAAGAAAGAUGUGAAAUCCCAGAGCUUAACUUUGGAACUGCAUUUUUAACUACCGGGCUAGAGUGUGUCAGAGGGAGGUGGAAUUCCGCGUGUAGCAGUGAAAUGCGUAGAUAUGCGGAGGANCACCGAUGGCGAAGGCAGCCUCCUGGGAUAACACUGACGCUCAUGCACGAAAGCGUGGGGAGCAGACAGGAUUAGAUACCCUGGUAGUCCACGCCCUAAACGAUGUCAACUAGCUGUUGGGGCCUUCGGGCCUUGGUAGCGCAGCUAACGCGUGAAGUUGACCGCCUGGGGAGUACGGUCGCAAGAUUAAAACUCAAAGGAAUUGACGGGGACCCGCACAAGCGGUGGAUGAUGUGGAUUAAUUCGAUGCAACGCGAAAAACCUUACCUACCCUUGACAUGUCUGGAAUGCCGAAGAGAUUUGGCAGUGCUCGCAAGAGAACCGGAACACAGGUGCUGCAUGGCUGUCGUCAGCUCGUGUCGUGAGAUGUUGGGUUAAGUCCCGCAACGAGCGCAACCCUUGUCAUUAGUUGCUACGAAAGGGCACUCUAAUGAGACUGCCGGUGACAAACUGGAGGAAGGUGGGGAUGACGUCAAGUCCUCAUGGCCCUUAUGGGUAGGGCUUCACACGUCAUACAAUGGUCGGGACAGAGGGUCGCCAACCCGCGAGGGGGAGCCAAUCCCAGAAACCCGAUCGUAGUCCGGAUCGCAGUCUGCAACUCGACUGAGUGAAGUCGGAAUCGCUAGUAAUCGCGGAUCAGCAUGUCGCGGUGAAUACGUUCCCGGGUCUUGUACACACCGCCCGUCACACCAUGGGAGUGGGUUUUACCAGAAGUAGUUAGCCUAACCGCAAGGGGGGNGA